CUUGUAUCGUGUGCUGUACAUUUGCACCUUCUGUACUUCUACUUUGAGAUAGAUCCCCCCACAACCAUAUAUCGAGGGCCUUGCUCUUCUUUCAUGAUGGAUUAAAGGCAUAGGAAAUAUGUAGCAAAUCUUAUAGUGCCAAAUCUUUUCAGCUUAUGUCCAUUUGUGUGAAAUCUCAAGUAGCCCAUGACAUGUUGGCAUCCAUAUAUAAAUUUCAUCAAUUUUCUUGCACC
rnacentral:lncRNA from 1 species